rnacentral:rRNA from 1 species
UUGGAGGGCAAGUCUGGUGCCAGCAGCCGCGGUAAUUCCAGCUCCAAUAGCGUAUAUUAAAGUUGUUGCAGUUAAAAAGCUCGUAGUUGAAUUUCGGGAUUCUACCGUUGGUCGGGCUAACAAGUCUGUACUGGUGCGUAGAAUUUCUACCUUCUGGGGAACUAUCAUGUUAUUAAUUUAGCGUGGUGGGAAACCAGGACCUUUACCUUGAAAAAAUUAGAGUGUUCAAAGCAGGCUUACGUCUGAAUACAUUAGCAUGGAAUAAUAGAAUAGGACGGUGGUCCUGUUUUGUUGGUUUCUGAAUCACCGUAAUGAUUAAUAGGGAUAGUUGGGGGCAUUAGUAUUCAAUUGUCAGAGGUGAAAUUCUUGGAUUUAUUGAAGACUAACUUCUGCGAAAGCAUUUGCCAAGGAUGUUCUCCUUAAUCAAGAACGAAAGUUAGGGGAUCGAAGACGAUCAGAUACCGUCGUAGUUUUAACCAUAAACUAUGCCGACUAGGGAUCGGACGAUGUUAAAUUUUAUUGACUCGUUCGGCGCCUUACGGGAAAC